CCCCUCCCCCUGGUGUGGUCCGGUGUGUGGUUACGGGAAUAGACGAGCGGAACUGCCGGAGCGCGUAGUGCCGAGCCCGGGACCGGUUUGAUGGUCGCUCAAGAUGCCGCUGCUGAGACUGGUAACCUGUUCGUGCGUCGAAGUCCCAGGCGACCAUAUGGCUGGCUUCUGCUCUUGAGCUCCCAACAAACAGCCAAAUAAAAGUGUGCCUAUAUCGAAAAGUCACUUGGAACGAUAGCAAGCAGAACUCAAGACUGAAACUACAGCAGUAUGAUAAAUAUAGUCAGUGGAUAGUUGCAAAAUACAAAUGCUUUCAGCAGUCAGAAGAGACGUGGUUGAUGCUGACUGACCAAUUAAACUACUGAAUGGUGGAAAAUUUAGACAUCAAUAAAGAGCGGUGAUAGUUUACUGAACAAGGAUGACUUCUGACUUGGAGGAGGAACUGUCGUUUGUGAUAAUCCCAUGCACCUACUGCCCUUGUCCUUGACUUUUGUGUAUAAGAUUAUGGGGAAGGGGCCAAGGAGUGGGGCAGAGGAGGGGAAAAGAAAGGAUCAGCCAUGAUUGAAUGGUGAAGCAGAUUCAUUGGGUCAAAUGGCCUAAUUCUGCUCCCAUGUCAAUGGUCUUAUGGUCUUCACACCCCCUUCAUGGAGGCAUUGCCCCAGGAUGCAUUUCUGGGGCUGCCCCAUUUAUGUUUCUGUAAAAUGAAGCCCCCCAUCCCAGAACACUGAUGGUUGAGGGGUUGACAGUGGUAAAGCCAAAUACAUGGGGGUGAUUCAUAUAGGGGAAGCUGACUAUAAUUAUAGAGUACACUUUCAAAGGAGAUAAAAAAAUAUUCUGAACAAAAGAUAUAACUAUUGAGUUCUGGAUAAAAUUUAAGUUUUCAAUUUGCAAACACUUUGACUUUAAUUCUCAUUGACACCAGGAACACCUGCUCAAUUAUUGGCUUCAUUCAAGAUCUCCUCUUGCCAGUGUGGAACCUAAAUUAGAAACAAGAGGAAGGAAUCCUUCUCUCAUAGUCACACUGAAUUAAAUUAAUUUAUAAUCUUCAGACAGUGUGAUCUAAUUUAGAACACCUGGAAAUUUGUAGUUCCAAAUCAUAAUUUACAACAUCACAGCAAAUAGAACCAUUUUGAAAUUUCUGCUAAACAUACCAAGGCAUUCUGUAUCUGACACGUCAGCUGACAGUUCAUUCUACUGGAUUCCAGGAGAGUUUGCUAUUUGCUGAACUGAGUUCCCUUUCUAACAAUUCCCUUCAACCAAUGUAACCUAGGCAAGGUCUACAAGAGCUGUCAUUAUUAUAGAUUUACCUACAGUAUGGUAUCCAUAUUCCAGAAAGGGUAUCAUACCAUUGUGUACAGUCCAGAAGAGAUUUGUGAGGUUAAUUCCUGGAAUGAGAGGGUUAUUCUGUCACCUAAGACUACAGAAGCUAGAAUUUAGAAAUUGGUCUGGUCUUAGAAAGUCAGAGUGUCGUACAGCACAGAAAUAGACCCUUCAUCUCAGCUGGUCCAUGCUAACCAAGGUGACCAUUUAAUCUAGUCCCAUAUCCCUCUAAAUCUGUCUUGGACUGUAUUUGCCUCAACUUGCUCUGUUGUUAUUAUGUCUAUGCUUGUUUAAUUUGUCAUGUAAGUUCUGUAUAAUUUAUGUUAAUUUGAGUGUAGGUAAUUUAUGAUUGUCAUGUUUGUAAUGAGCUAAGUUGUUGCUGCUCCUGUAAACCCAAAUGCUUAUGGCAUUUAUUACCUGGGUCUGUAUGCUAUGAGAUCAAACUUGACUUUGAUCUUGAAUUAUCCUUUUAGCUGUCAAAAUGUCUUUUAAAUGUUAUUGAACCUACCUCAACCACGUCCUAUCUCUGAUCCAGAAACUAUAAGAUCAUAAAGGAGAGAGAGGGCAUUGGUAUCAAAAUGCUUUACAAGUCCUGAAUGAAGGAACAUCAUUACGAGAAAAUGAAGUAGUGAUUUAAAACUGAGGUCAAGGUCAGAGAGUGAGAGAGUGAGACUUCCAAGUCCAUGGCAAAUAUUGGCCACUUAUUUUUAUAAAAAUUCUACCUGACCCCAUCUUAGUCUCUCCCACACACCCAUCAGCUCCUCCUGGAUUCUACCAAUCAUCAAUACACUAGUGCAAAAUUAUUAGUAGCCAAUUAGUCUAUCAACCUUAGGAUAUAUGAGGAGAAUGGAGUAUCAGGAGGAAACCCACAAGGUCACAGGGAAAGCAUGCAAGUUCUACGCAGAAAACAAUGAGAUCAGUAUUGACCCGGGCGUCUGGCACUGUACCACCCUAAAGAAUAGCCAGAGUAUGUAAUUUCUGUGCUUUUUAUAGAUCAAGGAUCAAAGUAAAUUUAUUAUCAAAGUAGGUAUAUGUUACCAUACACUACCUUGAGAUUCAUUUCCUUGAAGACAUUUACAGGAAAAAGGGAAUAUAACUGAAUUUUUAUGAAAAACUAGAUAAACUAAAGCUGACAGACAACCAAUGAUGCCAACUCAUUUACACUAUUCCCAAGUUCCCGUCAACUGCUCCAGUUUCUGCAACUCAUCCAUGUACUAGGGGGAAUUUACUGCAGCCAAUUCACCUAAUAACCUGUAUGUAUUUGGGAUGUGGCAGGAAACUGAAGCACCUGGGGGACAUUCAUGCAGUUGCAAGGUGACAAACCCACAUAUAGAGGCACAAAUUGCAGCCAGAUCUUGGGAGCUGCAAGGCAGCACCUCAACUAGCUGCACUACUGUACUCCUCAGAGGCAGGAGUGUAGGCAUCUUUUCUCAUGAAGUGCAACGUAUCUCUGGGUUGAUACAUAGGGAUCAUUUGAUGACUCAGGGCCUGUACUCACUGGAGCUUAGAACAAUGAGAGGGAAAUCUCAUUGAAACUGACUGAAUAUUGAACUGCCUAGAUUUAUAUUGUGUUCAGUGAUUGCCCAACUGCAGAGGGAGAGAUACACUGGCAGAAUGAGUAGUUCACAAAGGUUUAAUAAGAAUGGUAAAGAGCCAAUAGAAAAAUAAUAAAUGCUAGGCCAAUGGGGCUACUGGAUGAAACGUUUAAACUAAAAUCUAAUGCCGUCACCUCAGCUUGGUAGUAGUAACUUAAUACUAACCUAAUACUGCUCUUUUGCAACAUCAAUCUAAAUGGUAAUCUUCUUUCCUGGAACAUGGAGAAGCAGGGAGUAUUGCUGUAGUGUGUUCAAUAUUUGAGUAAUUUUGUAAGUAUAUUGUUUGAUUAAGCAUCGUUGUUUGUUUACAUAAUUUAUUAUGGGUUAUAUGUAAGAAAUACAUGAAUGGCAUACGUUAUUACACCACCGCAUUAUAUGUGAGAGUCUCACUGAAAAGAAGAGACAGAGUAGACAAUUAUCCCAGCUCUUGUAUUUUUCUUUUGAGUACUUUCUGGAGUUACAAAACAUUACAGUGGCGACAAGGAAGUUCUAAAAUGAACCCAAGACGACUACCUACUUGUUAAAAUGCAGCAUAUUUUCUUCAGAAGGACCCAGAGAGAGAUAUUUAAGUUUAAAAAAAAAGCACAGCACAUUUUUCUUCAGAAGUGGAGAGAGACAUUUGAGUUAAAAAAAAACACUGCACUGUUUUCUUCUGAAUGGAGGUGUUACGAACCCCGUAACUGGGUGACUUACCAGCAAAGAUAGAGACGUCCGUUGAAGUCUGAUGAUACUAUUUUUAACAGUAUUUAUUAGUAAAAAUACAUAAAAAUAAUAUCUAUGCAAAUAUACAGAUAAUAUACGUCGUCAAUACUAAACUUAUAAGUGCGGGUAUAAUAAUAAUAAGAAAUAAGCUCUAUCGUUGUCUAGGGGAUAAUGUACUGUCCAAUGGAAAUAUAAAGU